UGGGGAAUAUUGCACAAUGGGCGCAAGCCUGAUGCAGCAACGCCGCGUGAGGGACGAAUGCCUUCGGGUCGUAAACCUCUUUUAGCAGGGAAGAAGCGAGAGUGACGGUACCUGCAGAAAAAGCACCGGCUAACUACGUGCCAGCAGCCGCGGUAAUACGUAGGGUGCAAGCGUUGUCCGGAAUUAUUGGGCGUAAAGAGCUCGUAGGCGGUUUGUCGCGUCUGCUGUGAAAUCCCGAGGCUCAACCUCGGGCUUGCAGUGGGUACGGGCAGACUAGAGUGCGGUAGGGGAGAUUGGAAUUCCUGGUGUAGCGGUGGAAUGCGCAGAUAUCAGGAGGAACACCAAUGGCGAAGGCAGAUCUCUGGGCCGUAAUUGACGCUGAGGAGCGAAAGCAUGGGUAGCGAACAGG
rnacentral:rRNA from 2 species